rnacentral:lncRNA from 13 species
CUUGGCUGAUCUCCUGUAAUGCUGUAUCAUCAGGUUGGCUCCCGUUAACAAUGGCAAAUGACAACUUUAGACUUCAAAGCCAUAUACAAUACUCUGUAUUGGAAGAAGUAUUUCAAUGUGACAUAGUCUUGUCUUUAAAAACCGAUUUUUUUCUAAUAGGAGAAGCAUCCAGCGUAUCUCACCUCAAGUUGUUUGACCUAAUUAAUGGUGCUUGCCUAUUACUUAAUGAAUUACCAUGAUAAAAACGACUGUUCAUGGAGCUAAACAUUGUGACAAUGCCCCUGGGGAGAACGAUCUCAAUGGAGGGAUAACAUUCAAGAGUUUCACUCUUGUUGACCAGGCUGGAGUAAAAUGGCACAAUCUCAGCUCACUGCAACCUCUGCCUCCUGGGUUCAAGCAAUUCUUCUGCCUCAGCCAUCUGCAUAGUAGCUGGGACUACAGAUGCAGCCCAGAAAAUGAUACCCCAAAGCAAAGACUCGGGAUCAGCCUCAGAAGUAGAUUCUCUCUGACCCUCUCCACACCCCCUAUCUUUCAGCCUCAUUCACCCCCAGAGAUUAACCACAGAAACUGGACUCCCUCUUCUCCAAGAUAAGAAAAUACAGGCUAAGAACUUUUUAGCGAUGGGAUCAACUCUAGAAUCAGUGGAUACAGCAAGAAGGAGGCCAUCUGCAAGCCAAGAGGUGGAUCCUCAACAGAACUUGACCAUGCCUACUACUCUCAUCUCAGACUCAGCCUCCAGAACUGUGAAAAAGCAAAUCACUCAGUUUAUGUUAUUUAUUUAUUUAUUUAUUUUUAACAGCAAUUUGGGUUUACAAUUACAUUGAGAAACAAACAAGAAAAAUGACCAACCUAAUAAUACAGAGAAAAUAAGUAAUGAAGACAGAUUGAAUCCAGUCAGGUUGGCUCCAAAUCGUUUGCUAUUAACCACUUUUGGUGUCAGGAUUAUGCUUACUUCAGAAAACAAAUUAUGAAGAUUUCUAUAUAUUCCAUAAUCAUGUAAGUGUUUACAUUACACGGAAAUUAAUUGAUCCCACAAAAAAUCAUAAUUUAGACUUUAGUGCUUGUUUUACUUUUCUUUUUUAUAAACUAUUUUCUUCCACUGUAUGUUGGUGGAAUAUGUAUGAAUUUUUUUUUCUUUUCUUUAAAAGUCAAGCAUUUCACUAAGAUGUAGUGGUUUUUUUGGUUGUUUUUGCUUUACAUAUUUAAUUUGUCAUAUAAAUCAAGAGCACUUUUUUUUUUUGCCUGCAGAGUCCAUAAUUUAUUCAGUUUAGAAAAUAUUUUAUCCAUAAUAAUUUGAAUAUUUUUUUCUCCUUUGUUCCUUACUCAAAGUAAUUUUUUUAAAAUAGAGUCUCUUUCUGUUGUCCAGGCUGGAGUGCAGCGGAGCGAUCUUGGCUCCUUCAGCCUUUGCAUCCUGAGUUCAAGCAAUUCUCCUGCCUCAGGCUCCUAAGUAGCUGGGAUUGCAGGUGCGUGCCACCACGCAAGGCUAAUUUUUGAAUUUUUAGCAGAGAUGGGGUUUCACCAAGUUAGCCAAACUGGUCUCAAAGGAAUUUUAAUUAUUGGCUGAUAGAGUUCUAAAUCUAACUCUAACUCAACACUUGCACUAAUUCUGAAUCCAGUUCUAAUUUUGUUUCUAACAUUAAA